UAAUCGAUACUUAUCGAAAAAUGCAAUCUCAAAAAGCCGGCAAGCAUUUAAAUAAAGGAAAGGUUUAGGAAAAUUAUCUAAAUUAGAUUAUUCGAUACACAACUAUAGAACAGUAAAAGCAAUAUACAAAAGAACCUUUCAUAUAGACAGAAGUAACGUUUUCAUUAAAAUUUUAUUUAGAUAUUUAUAUUGUGGAUGUUCUAACACAUUAAUUUCAAAUCUAAAUAAGAAGUAAAUAAUGGGAAUGUUUUCUAAAUCCCAGCCAAUAGGAGGACUCAAAAUCUUUCUAACGCCGUAUACCGUAACCGGAUCCAACUUUUAAAACGCGAGAUUCUCAUUACAAAAGCCAUCUAUUGGAAAAAUAAUGGAUUUCUGGUGAACUGACUAUACAAUUUGAAGAAAUGGAAUUAUCAGGAAAGUCGUGAAAACUCCCGUUUGUAUGAGCUACAUAAAAAUAAGUGUUAUAAAAAUGGCCGCUUUCCAGUUUACCUCGUUAAAUCUGCAAAUGGCACAAGAUUAUUUUUAUAAUUUAAAUCCAUUAGCUCAGCGUAUUGCAUCUGAUAUAACCACUACAAAAUCAUCAUAUGGCACGCUUUGGUAUACUUUGAAAGCAACUCAACAAAAUGAGAUCAUUAACGAAACUCUAAUAACACCUGAAAUUUCUUUGAAGUACUUGGAAAAUAUGUCUCUGUCUGCUUCAUCGUUAUCAUCAAAUUCAUCUUCGUCUAUCUCAUCUUGUGCUAGUUUAAGUACAACAAGUGUCAAACAUAUUUUGCCGUCGUCUUCAAAGAGCAGAGGACAAAAUUAUUCGCCCAAUGUCAAUAAUAGUAAAACAUCGAAUUCGUUAACUGAUAAUAUUAAUUUGCAGACUCAAAAUUUAUUGUCCAACACUUUGGUUGCACGCGCUAAACACACAAUACAAUCACAUCAACUUGGAAAAUUAAAACCUCCAUCGUCUCCACCGCCACUUCCUCCAACUACAACCAAAAAAUUGACGAAAACCGAAAAUGCUGAAAAACAAAAAAACAAAUUGAAAACAAAUCAAGUAAAGGCUACCAAUGAGAAAACGAAUUAUAUUUAUGAUGGAAUCAACCUCCAUACAUAUACCGCUCAGAAAGUGGCUCUAAAAAUUAUUUAUGAUGAUGUAUUAGGGGCAUACCGCGAUGAACAUUCGCAACCUUUCAGUUAUCGCACAAAAUCACAGAUUGAUCUACAGAAGCAGUAUUAUGAAGCUGAUUUGGAUGACAUAAAUCUGAACACUAAUUUUGAUUAUAAAUGCCCUACUUCAAACGAGCCGAGAAAUGGAAAUUUGGCUGAAAAUGUAGCUCUAACUAAAAACUCUGAACGCUUACAAAAGGAGUAAAAGAGCACCUUUAAUAAUCAUUUGAAAAUUUCUAGAAAAAAUAAACGACUAAUACCUAUAUCGCCAGAAGUAUUCAAGAUUCCACCUGCUAAGGCAACUCAAGCGCUUUCUUCACGAAAUUUUAAUAAGUGUAAAAAUAAAUCGAGCAAAUAUUUGUUGAAAGAAAAUGUUGAAAAGCAUACAUCCGAAGACUCAUUUUUACUCGACUUCAAACCCAAACAAUCAAAUUUGAAUUAUGCCGUAUAUACAGAUGUCUACUUUGAACAAUAUGGUCGCCUGGAUGCAGUGGCACGCAGAAGAAGAAGCUUCAGACCUGUCAGUACGCUGCACUCCGGACUAUCACGGGAUGCCUCUUGAUGUCUCCAAUCGAACACCUACAUAGUGAGGCCCGUAUGCUUCCGGUUAAGGAACACAACGAACUCCUCUCCAAACAGUUUCUGCUAGGGUGCUUUCGUAGAAACCACCCCUGUAGUCGCCUGCUUGUAGCGGAGCCGCCUCCUAGGAACAUCAAGAGGUCUUUCCUUGAUUACGUCGACGACAUCAGACAGUACGCCGACCGGACUUCGGACGCUAUGAACUUCAGACAGGCACUGACCACAUUCACAGUGGAGCCGUUAACACCUUCAUCGACUCCCUCUCAGUGAAUGGCGUACUAUGAGUCAAACCACCAACCACCUAUAGCAGACGUAGAGCUCGAGUUGCCUCACGAAACCAGAGUGACCCUCGCGCAACUUCAUUCUGGAUACUGUAGCAGGUUAAACUCCUACUUAUCCAGAAUAGACCCCGACAUACCAAACACAUGUCCUGCACGCAAUGGUUCUCCGCAUGACACUAACCACCUCUUUGCAUGCCCAACAAACCCCACUCAUCUAACACCCUUCUCCCUAUGGUCCGACCUCGUCGAAACAGCUCGUUUCCUGGGCCUCCCGUUAGAUGACCUCGACGACAACGAAUCUGGAAUUAAUCACCCAAACGGGGACCGUUACAACAAUAACAACAAAUGUCAGUACUGUUAAUUUACAUUUGAAUUUUUACAUUCAGAACCACUGAUUGAAGAAAGACGUAAGCAGAGCUAUUGAGAGGAGGGGAUGAGAUCAGAUGACCGUCACUUUUCUUGUAGGGUACAUAACAAAUGUAAACAAAUAGAUGUGUGAACUGUCAAUGAAAACUCAUCGAAAACACACAAUGUCGGUCAGAACGACUUUGGUUCCACAAUCCACAAAUUGUGUUUUCAAGAGGAUUUCAAUUCGGUGCGAACAUAGUAUUAGGACUGGUUACAUGUAAAUUUAUACAAUGGUCGAUUUUGCUGGCUCUAAUGUAAUCGAUACUUAUCGAAAAAUGCAAUCUCAAAAAGCCGGCAAGCAUUUAAAUAAAGGAAAGGUUAAGGCUAAAUUAGAUUAUUCGAUACACAACUAUAGAACAGUAAAAGCAAUAUACAAAAGAACCUUUCAUAUAGAAAGAAGUAACGUUUUCAUUAAAAUUUUAUUUAGAUGUUUUUAUUGUGGAUGUUCUAACACAUUAAUUUCAAAUCUAAAUAAGAAGUAAAUAAUGGUAGGCCGUAAGAUUUCUGACUAUAAACCAAAAAGUCUACACAGCAUAUUGGCUGGGAUUUAGAAUAGCAACCCCCGAAUGAGUUUAAGCUUGCUAAGUUAAUAGGUAAAGAUAGAGGAGGUUCUCCAACUUAGGGAUAUUUAUACACAUAGCUGUCGGUGACUUAUGGUUUGUGAAUCAUUUGUAUUUAAAUUACCAAUUUAUAGUAUGCAAUUUUUCGAUUUACGAUGAAUUUUACGCUUAUGUUGUUUUAUAUUGUAUAUAUCCACCAAACAAAAAUGUGCGUGUGUGACACAUUCUGAAAUAGCAUUUAUUAGUUUUACAAUUUUUGGGCUUCAAACACAAAUCUCUAAAAAAAAAAUCAGGCUGGGAUAUGUGUAUAUAUUCUUGAUCUUAUUCGUCCAUACCAUCAGAUCUCUGCUCCGGAGAAACCGAAAUUUUGCCCUAUAGCCAGCGGCAGCUAUAUAUAUGCAUACACAUAUAUUCUCAAUCUGGAAAACCUGUAUCCAUAGGAGAGGGAAUGUUUUCUAAAUCCCAGCCAAUAGGAGGACUCAAAAUCUUUCUAACGCCGUAUACCGUAACCGGAUCCAACUUUUAAAACGCGAGAUUCUCAUUACAAAAGCCAUCUAUUGGAAAAAUAAUGGAUUUCUGGUGAACUGACUAUACAAUUUGAAGAGUACGAAAAUAUGUCAAAAAUAUUUUCUAUUUAUGCAUAU